ensembl:lncRNA
CUGACACACCACCGAAGGAACGGUGCAGGAAGUACAGUACAGAUACCACCAUGCUCAUCAAAACAUGAACUAAGUAAGGAAAUAGUUUUAAAGUGGCUAUUUUAGACAGAAUUAUUGCAUCUUCUGCACUUUUCACAUGCUUAUAUAAUUUCCGAUGUUUUUAGGCGCGCGCACGUGUGUGUGUGUGGAACUAAACUAAUGCUGCAGUCAGUUGUAGUGAGAUCUCGGAAAGUUUGGAGUUGAUGUUUAUACACUUUAUACACGUAUAAACAACAUGAAAUGUCCCGGUCACCUCUGCUCAGAAAACUGUGUCUGUCGGCUUUCUACACGGAAGAACGUUCCCCUAAUGUCAAAUUAGAGUAUUUACAUGUCCUUAGAGCAUUGGCGGAUUCAGGGGUGGGGCCAUUUCAUCUGGUCCCAGCUGAAAUCUGAUUGGUCCCUGAAGUGCCCCUGUCCUGUCAGUCAUCUCUGAUUCACAUCAGAUCGGCUGAGUCGGUUCGUUUGAAGUUCUACUUUAUUUCUCCCGACUCUGUGUUUUCACCCUCAUCCAGUUGCGCUUCAACGUUUGCAGAUGGAGGAUGACGUGAACCUGUUAUGUUACGUGGAGAAGUUGAUCAGAAGAUGAAAAAUUGCUCCGUUUUUAUUUUUUAAUGAUGCAGUGUUCUCGCACACUUUUGUCUAUGAAAAUGUUUGGUUUUAAAAUUAAAUAAUUAGUGUUUGAAGUCCCGAGAUUCAUGACUGGUUAUUUUAUGUAAACAAAAACAUGGAUUGUGUGCUGAUUAUUUAUUUAUUUAUUUAUUUAUUUAUUUAUAUAGACUUAUGGUUUUAUUUCUGAUUCAUGACACAUGACUGUAUGAGUACUAAAUAUAAAUUAUGAGAAUUGAGGGUAAGAGAAUGGUAGGGGAACAUUAGGGGAACGUUCUACAAACCUAAAACAGCUUUCUAUUUCCUGGCUAACCAAAA